GUUUGCUUCUGCCACGCAUAUACUAAAAUUGGAUAAUACAGAGAAGAUCAGCUUUGCCCCUGUGCAAGGAUAACAUGCAAAUUCAUGAAGUGUUCCUUAUUUUU